UUCGCGAACGAUCCACGCGAACGAUACGAUCGAAGAUUCGCAAGAAUGUGCAGUCCGUCUCUCUCGAUCGACGGCGACAGUCCGUCCGAUUUAUCUUAUCCCCGUCACUCAUUCGCCCUCUUUCCUUCUCUCUUCAUCUCACUCCCUCUCCCCCCCUCUCUCUCUCUCUCUCUCUUUCUCUCUCUAGUUUCGUCGAGAUAUACUUCUUAGGUUAUCUCCCUCGACUCUCUUUCGGCGGUUAAACUCGUUUGCUUUCCGCCUCGCCGUGUGCCGCUUCCGUCGUCCGCGUUCCCUCUCUCUCUCUCUCUUUUUCUCUAUCUUUAUCUUUCUCCACCGACGAUCGCGUUCCGAUUCUUACGAUAAAUGGGCCGUUCCGAGCGUUUCCCAGGCGCCCAAGUCGCAUGUACACUUGCUCACCUGCUGCGAGUUUUCUCGCGUCACGAUUCCGCCAGUUGCUGGGGAGUUCUCACGCUUUCGGCGCGCCAACGGCAGCGUGCGAGAACGCAACGUUAUCGCGGAGGUCCUUCGUCGAGAACGCGCGCGCGACGUCUUCGGCCUCGGCCGAGCGUCUCCGAGCGGGAAGAGAGAAUCCGGCGCGCAAAGGACCGCGAUCGGGGCGCGACUCGGAGAAUUCGGCGCGAGUGCGAGCCGAAGGGCAGCCGGAUGCCCGGCGACGCGACGAGCCGAGCGACGCUGAUAAGGCCGUUGACUCGCGUUUGGCCACGAAAUUCCGCGAUACCAUCAGGGCCGUAAAAGAAGACACCGGUCUCCGGACAACUCUCGCGCGCGCGCUUCGAGUCCGCCAUGUCCGUUCGUUCGACUGCUCUCUCGUCCGUCGUACCGCUCUCGAACCCGAAGAUCCUCUCGAGAGAAUAUCGCGAGAAUCUCGCAAUCGAUAGUUUUAGACGCGGCGAUAACUUCACGGGGCACUGUUGAACUCUGCUCACGGCUCCUUGAGAGCGCCGCUUAUUACGAAGAAGAAGAAGAAGAAGAAGAAAAAGCCUAACUUCAAUCGGCGCUCGACGCAACGGUCGCACAUAACCUGCUUUCUAGGAGAGUUUCGAUGUCGUAGCCCGGGAUAAAAUUGCUCGGACAAUGCGGAUGCAACAUGGCUGCGGAGAACGCGGGUCGUCGCCUCGGCGAGUUACGUCUGACGAAGCGCACAUCGCGAGAUCUUCGCUGGCGAGAGAAAAUCCGACUGCGACGAUCUGAAAAUUCGGUAUGCAUUUCAAUCCCAUGUGACGCAUACGGCUAUGAUGCAGCGAUUCAACCGGAAAACCGACACUCGACUGUAAACUAAAGCUUGAGUGUCUCACGUGAGAGAUAAAGUUCCGGCUAUUAAUAUCAGCCUUAGACGCGCUACGAAGUCGUUUCGCGUCACGAGUCCAACGGGUUAACAUUCUGCGCAACUUUCGCGUUCUCGAAGGAAUCGCGCAAGCGAUACGAGCGCGCGGCCGCAAUCAGCGACGAAAGAAUCGCGGAGUUGUGACAGCGAAGCAUGACCGAUCAUCCGGGCUUUGUUUACGUCUCCAAGUUGGAGCCGCAGUCGUCACAGGAGAAACCGGUUCGCCGUCGGAUUCAGUCGGUUCCGAUAUCAGCUGCCGCUGGGGGAGUUCAAGAAGGCGACUCCAGAUUAACUUCUACACGACCGGCCGUUCGCGCGGCCGGUUAAACAAGUGAGAUCAAAGUGAUGCUUCGGUGGGGAUUGGUGCGCGUCGUAUUCAGGAGAGAUUAAGUUUGAUUGGAAAGCUUUUUCUUCGUUCAAUCGUGAGAAAAAAGGAGAAUGCAUCGGCAACGGCGAGGGGAUUAUUCAUGUGUAAUCAUCGAUUUCGAGAAUCACCGUCUAUUUCGUAAUAAAUACUUUUUUCUUUUACGCUCACGCAGCGACGACGGUACAGAAGAAGAUUGUACGCUUGUGCAGUGUGCAGCGUUCUGCUGGACAUGUGGUGCCCGGCAAUGGAACGGGAGUUAGUCAUUUACGCAUGGAACACAUUUAAAAUGUAACGGGAAUCAAGGUUCCCUACGCCCGACGGACGUUGAGCCGUGUGUGGCCGUUGUAAUCUUGUUCGAUGCAAAAUUAUGCAAAUUAGUCAAUCUCCUUUUAUAAGACUUUCGUAAAGGUUCUCAGGAUUCGUUUCAUGUAUGAUCAUUAAGUAUCAAUCAUCAUGCGUAUCAAAAGA
rnacentral:lncRNA from 1 species